rnacentral:rRNA from 1 species
GACGAACGCUGGCGGCGUGCUUAACACAUGCAAGUCGAACGGAAAGGCCCUGCUUUUGUGGGGUGCUCGAGUGGCGAGCGGGUGAGUAACACGUGAGUAACCUGCCCUUGACUUUGGGAUAACUUCAGGAAACUGGGGCUAAUACCGGAUAGGAGCUCCUGCUGCAUGGUGGGGGUUGGAAAGUUUCGGCGGUUGGGGAUGGACUCGCGGCUUAUCAGCUUGUUGGUGGGGUAGUGGCUUACCAAGGCUUUGACGGGUAGCCGGCCUGAGGGGGUGACCGGCCACAUUGGGACUGAGAUACGGCCCAGACUCCUACGGGAGGCAGCAGUGGGGAAUAUUGCACAAUGGGCGGAAGCCUGAUGCAGCAACGCCGCGUGCGGGAUGACGGCCUUCGGGUUGUAAACCGCUUUCGCCUGUGACGAAGCGUGAGUGACGGUAAUGGGUAAAGAAGCACCGGCUAACUACGUG